UACGUAUGGUGCAAGCGUUAAUCGGAAUUACUGGGCGUAAAGCGUGCGCAGGCGGCUUUGCAAGACAGAUGUGAAAUCCCCGGGCUUAACCUGGGAACUGCAUUUGUGACUGCAUGGCUGGAGUGCGGCAGAGGGGGAUGGAAUUCCGCGUGUAGCAGUGAAAUGCGUAGAUAUGCGGAGGAACACCGCUGGCGAAGGCCAUCCCCUGGGCCUGCACUGACGCUCAUGCACGAAAGCGUGGGGAGCAAACAGG
rnacentral:rRNA from 1 species